CAGCUUUCUAAUCUGGAAUAUUUUUAUAGUAUGAGAAUAGCAAGGGUGACCAUCCACUUAGCCAUAUGAGAAUGGAGGAAGAUCAACAUUUGAUCUCUAAAAGCAGAGCUCCUCACUGGACUUAAAAGGCUGGUGAACAGGACCAAAUACAAGGACAAUAAGUUGACAGGAUCCUCUGAGUAGAUGCAGCUGCAGUUUUUUCCAAGGCCAUGCUGUCUGGAAAUUUGGAUGACCGUGGAGACUCAUUCUGCCUUUAAUACUUAAAACCCAAUUAUUGCCUUUCAUCUCUAUCCCACAGUUUCUACGAAAUCUCUCUGCUCAGAUCAUCCCCUUGGUUGACAGCAAAUCAUUGCAUAUCACACUGAUCUAUUAAGAUUACUGGAACAGCUGAGUUCUGCUCUUGAUCCUUUCACAGGACUGAAAUGUGCUGGGAGGGAGUCUGCCCUAUGUGACCACUGAUCUUGAACAGCCAAGAUGGAAAUGCACACUGAUCUGUACAUUUCAGUGUUUUCAAAUCCAUGAAAAAAGAUUUCUCAUGAAGAAUUCAAUGAGAGUUCUGCUUGCUGGAUUUCUGUUUCUGGAUUCACAGAAAGAAAUUGUAACUAUCAGAAGUCAAAUGGAUGAAAGCUGAUAGCCAUAGUUUCGUAUGCAUCUCCUUAUUUGAUGUUUGAACGCAUCUUAUAUCACAGUGCACAAUCGCAUCCUGCUGUUAGAGCUACUGCUUAAACAAACACAUUACCUGCUUUAUUGCAUGGUUGGAAGCAAAAGGAAUAAGUUAGUAGCUAUAAGUUUGGUAGUGCAUUCCGAAGACACUGCUUGAGUUUUAAAGGCUUCACAUUUUUUGCCUGAUUUUUGACUUGCCUUAGCCUCUUCUCAUGUCACACAGCUGGUUUCUCACUUUUCUCAGGAUAUAUGAGGGAUCCUUGGUCCUCUUCAGUUCUACAAGAAAAAACUGGUGUCAUGUACCUUGUUCUGGCCUGUAUUGCACCAAAUGAUGUCAUCGACAUACAAAAGCUUAGGACACAU